ACGGGUGAGUAAUAUGUAGAGAAUCUGCCCUUUAGUGGGGGACAACAGAGGGAAACUUCUGCUAAUACCCCAUAUGCGCGUAGCUGAGAUGCUAUUCGUGAAAGAUUUAUUGCUAAAGGAUGAGUCUGCAUCUGAUUAGCUAGUUGGGGGUGUAAUGGACCACCAAGGCGACGAUCAGUAGCUGGUUUGAGAGGAUGAUCAGCCACAAUGGGACUGAGACACGGCCCAUACUCCUACGGGAGGCAGCAGUAGGGAAUUUUGCGCAAUGGGCGAAAGCCUGACGCAGCAACGCCGCGUGAUCGCAGACGGCCUUCGGGUUGUAAAGAUCUGUCAGCAGGGACGAACAAUGACUGUACCUGCAGAGGAAGCACCGGCUAACUCCGUGCCAGCAGCCGCGGUAAUACGGGGGGUGCGAGCGUUGUCCGGAAUCAUUGGGCGUAAAGAGUUCGUAGGUGGUUUGUUAAGUUUGGUGUUAAAGGCGCAGGCUUAACCUGUGUAUGGCAUCGGAUACUGGCAGACUGGAAUGCGGUAGAGGUAAAGGGAAUUUCUGGUGUAGCGGUGAAAUGCUUAGAUAUCAGGAAGAACAUCGGUGGCGUAAGCGCUUUACUGGGCCGUAAUUGACACUGAGGAACGAGAGCCGGGGUAGCAAAUGGGAUUAGAUACCCCAGUAGUCCCGGCCGUAAACGAUGGAUACUAGGUGUUGCGGGUAUCGACCCCUGCAGUGCCGCAGCUAACGCGUUAAGUAUCCCGCCUGGGGAGUACGCACGCAAGUGUGAAACUCAAAUGAAUUGACGG
rnacentral:rRNA from 1 species